rnacentral:lncRNA from 1 species
AUGCCGCGGCCCGCGUGCGCCCGCUCCGCCGCCGAGUCACCAGGAAGGCCCCGGCGGCCCACCCCGCCAGCGCCCCACGCGGGGCCAGCGCCCCCCGCGCCGCCAGCGCCGGGUACCUCACGGCCGCCCCGCUGGCCGCCCGGGGGCGGGGCCGGCGCGCGGGGACUGCGCCUGCGCGGCCGGCCCUCACGGAGCCCGGGGAAGGUUGCGCCUGCGCAGUCGGCCCACUCCGGCCCGGGGGCGGGACUGCGCCUGCGCAGUCGGCCCAACCCAGCCCUGGGGGCGGGGCGACGCCUGUGGAAUCGCCCCUUCAGCGGCGCCUCGGCACCUAGAGCCGCCCGUCCGGCCGGGCCCCGGGGAGAGGCGGGCGUGCGGGCAUUGCGCCUGCGCGCGCCGGCCCCGCCCCCGGCCCCGCCCCGGCCGCGCGGGGCCCUGGGAGGGGUGCAGCGUCCGGCGGCUGCGGCGGCGGCGCGGGAGGGGCCGGGGGCGGACAAAGCCGAGGCCGAUGAAUGGGGCGCGUCCGCCUGCGCGGCCGUGGGGUCCCCGCGGAUUUUAUUCUUAAAUAAAUGCUCAGCCUCAGGCCUGGUUAGGCAGACAGCAGAAGAAGGCAGACCGCAGGCCCCUUGUCCGUGGGAGCAGUGGGAUGGCCCAGGGAGGCAGAGACUCCGAGAAGGUGAUGCAGAAGGAGCACCAUGCCAUCAAGCCACCAGCGUCGCCGUGCCCGAGACCAGCAGGUCCGCCCCGUGUGCGCGCACGUCUGCCCCGCGAUGCGUUUACCGGGAGAACUCCGGGAGCGGCAUGAGGUGACACGCUCACGAGUUCGCCCGUCCACUGCUCAGUGAGAUUCAUGCUUAGCGUAUUCAUAAACAUCCUGAGAGAGAGAGUUCUUCGGGCAGAACUGAAUAGUUAUGGUCAGUCAUGGAGAACCAGCGGGAGCCUCGUCCCCAGGGAGCAGGUGAUUCGGAGAAUACAAACUUGAAAAUAGAAGAGGAAGAUGACUCGCAAACCCCUAAUCACAGUGUGGAGAGAAUGGACUUGGGAAGUGAGCCGGAGGCCGGGAGGCAGGUGGGCCGCGGCCGGGAGCAGGCGGAGGGCGGCGAGGUGGGCUGCGCGGGCCGGCCCCCCGGGCGGCGCGCCUCCCCCGAGCCCGAGGACGACUACGGGGCGCUGCUGGCGCAGUACAGCAGCACCCUGUACAGCGUGGCCAUGGAGGCCGUGACGCAGAGCCUGCUCUCCGGCCGCGGCCUGGGCUCCAGGAAGAAGUCCCCGGCCUGGAAGCACUUCUUCAUCUCGCCGCGGGAC